rnacentral:rRNA from 1 species
UACUAGAGUAGCACUCGCAUAUCAAUAAGCGGAGGAAAAGAAACUAACAAGGAUUCCCCUAGUAACGGCGAGUGAAGCGGGAAGAGCUCAAAUUUGAAAGUCUUAAAGGGUUUCCCUUUACGAAUUGUAGUUUAAAGAAGUGUUUUCUGUUGAGGUUUUGGUAAAAGUUCUUUGGAAUAGGACAUCAUAGAGGGUGAGAAUCCCGUAUUUGACCUUUACUUUCAACUUUGUGAUACACUUUCAAAGAGUCGGAUUGUUUGGGAAUGCAGUCCAAAAUGGGUGGUAAAUUUCAUCUAAAGCUAAAUAUUGGCGAGAGACCGAUAGCGAACAAGUACCGUGAGGGAAAGAUGAAAAGAACUUUGAAAAGAGAGUUAAACAGUACGUGAAAUUGUCAAAAGGGAAGCGUUUGACACCAGUGUUGUUUUUCUGAAAAUCAAUUAAAGAACUGUUUAUGCUAAGCUGUUUAGACUUUAUCAGCUAACUGCUUAGUUUUGAGCUUUUCUUUAAUGCACUUUUCAGUUAACAAGUCAACAUCAAUUUCUUUUGCUGUAAAAAAGCUUGAGGAAGGUGGCUUGAGAUUCGUCUUAAGUGUUUAUAGCCUCUUGCCUAUGCAGUCGGAGAGAUUGAGGUCUGCAGCGUAGAUCCUUCGGGGCUAAAUGCAUUUGUGCUAAGUUAUAGCAUUUUAUAGACAACUUGUUGACUAUGAUUUGUCUUGUAGCUUACUCGCUUAUGUUAUUUUACCUACGCUUAGGAUGUUGAGUAGCGACAUACGCAC